UUCCCCCACCUUAUCAAAGCCUCGAGUGUCAUUCUCUUCCCCCCUGUCGUCAGGAAGCCAGCCACCCCUCCUCCACUCCUCAUUUCAGAGGCAACAGUGCCAGUCGGUGCAAGUCGGCUCGGUUGUCAAACAGUAACACUAUCGCUUCCGUCCAGACUUUGAGCAGGAAGAUUCGAGGACCUAUGGUUCUUGGAAUGAGGACGACACAGAAAGAGGGCGUGCUGCUCUGCUGGCCUCAUUCUCAGUACCAAGGGAGCGGCAGACUGUCACAGAUCUGAGGGACAUGGCACUGGAGCGACUGCUGACACCAGUUGCACCGGCAACUGAUCACCUAUGACGUUCUCAAUGGGCUUGACCCCACAGUGACCCACAUCCACACAGUGCCACAUGCCCGUUCGGCUGGACAUGGCAAAACACAGCAAAUCACGGGGAUCUGGGUCUGGUUGGGUGUCUGUAGUAGUAUAUCCAUCCGUCCGACUCGUUGAAGAACUCUUCGUCCAGUUUGAGGUGAACAAUCGCAGUUCUGAUGUCCAGAAGCUCUUUCGGUCACAAGAGACUGUAGUAGCAACAUUAUGUACAAAACAAAUUACGAACAAGGCAAAAAAAAAAAAAAAGAAAUUGCCGAUAAGACUGCAGGCCUCCCCUCCAGUGCCAUAGUGUUCAGAACAAGCAUUUCUAAUUGGAAUAGUUCAGGUAGGUCCUGUUUGGUUACUAGUGAAGACAUUCCUGAUACUGUAUGUUGAAUGAUACAAGUGUUUAUCCUGUAUGGUUAAGUAUGUGCUCUUAUGCUAGCCAUGUGUGGAGGGAAAAAGCAUUGAGAAUGCACUACGUUGCAAACCAUCGAUGCACUCUAAAAAGUGUUUAAGUUCUCUGAGAGAUAUGCAUGCAUUUAUGUUGCGCCUACACACUUAACAGCACAAUAAACAGAAUGAUAUGCUAUAUAGGCCUACACAGCAUACCUGGCACAAUUAACCGAGACAAUGGUUUGCUAAACACUGACAGGCGACUAACAUUUGUAAUACAAAAGGAUUCAGAAGACACAAACUGCAUUUUAGACACACUACAGGUCAACCAAAAGACAACAGUAGACCUAUCCAAAUCUAUCUUCCAUCACCAUUGUGUGCAUAGCCAAUAACCACCAACCACUCCUUACGUCUAAAUACAGUAGUUUCUCAAGUUUGGCUGUGUCUCAAGUUAGGCAAUCUAUUCCUUAAAAAAGUGAACUAUUUUUGAGGGCCAUAGGCGCUGAUCAAAAGUAGUGCACUAUGUAGGGAAUACAGGGCCAUUUGAGAUGCACACAGCGUUAGAAUGCUGCCUCACUGUUGCUACACCCAUUCGUUUCUUCCGUAUUGGAGGCACCUAUGAGUCUACCGGAUCUGUAAUCAUAUAUUAGAGAACUAAUUUAAUGCACUCAAAGGGUCACGCCCAGGAUCGCGCGGCACGCUAAUGUAUUUGUUUACUGGAAAAACAAUAACAAGACAUGAGAUAACGAGAGCGCUGGCCAAAACGGAGCCGAGGCUUAUCGUGAGAUAUGAUACCCAAACCUGGUCUCAGAGCAUUUCUUAUUAUUCUGUAUGUAAAUCCGAUACACUCCCAAUUGGUAUGAUAUGUUACGUUUUGUAUGGUACAUAUUCAUUUGUGGGUGUCCAACAAUGAUAUGUUACGAAUUACAAUUCGUAUUAUGUUACGAAUUUGCUAAAAGUACAAUGUUACAAAUUUGUAAACGUACAAUAUGUUAAGACUUUGCAAAACGUAUGAUAUGUUACGAAUUCUAGCAAGGUGGCUAACAUUUGCUCACGUUAACUAGGCUAGCGGUUAGGGUUAACCCUUUAACCUAACUGUUAAACUUAAGGGUAGGGUUAGGGGAAGGGUUAGCUAACAUGCUAAGUAGUUGCAAAGUAGCAAGUAGUUAAAGUUGCUAAUUAGCUAAAAUUGGUCAUGAUGAGAUUCUUAUGGAACCAUCGGUCUUAUGUAACCAUACCAAACGUAAAAUAUCAUACUAAUUUGAGUGGGCCGGAUUUACAUUUACUAUGCUACGGCUAGUCUAUGAGACCAGGCUGGACACCCUGGGAAUACAAGUGUGCUCCCAUUACUGUUAUCGAGAUCCAUCAUUCUUCUGUUUGUUGUGAGAGAAGACAAGCAGAAUUUUUUAAAUUUAAGAUUUCACUGUGCAGUCCUCUGAGAAAUCACCUGUGUGGAGAGAAGAAUUGGUCAUGCCUUCUAUGUUUGCCAAUGAUUGACAUGUAGGUAAACACAUCGACAUGUAAGAACAGUUAAGCCAACAUCCUGAGAAAAUAGGACAGGGAGAUAAUGUGUAAUAAGCAAUCAUCCUCUUCUUUCCAUGUCUUUUGACUCUCCACCCUCCAAUUAAA